CAAAGAGGGGGACCUUCGGGCCUCUUGCCAUCGGAUGUGCCCAGAUGGGAUUAGCUAGUAGGUGGGGUAACGGCUCACCUAGGCGACGAUCCCUAGCUGGUCUGAGAGGAUGACCAGCCACACUGGAACUGAGACACGGUCCAGACUCCUACGGGAGGCAGCAGUGGGGAAUAUUGCACAAUGGGCGCAAGCCUGAUGCAGCCAUGCCGCGUGUAUGAAGAAGGCCUUCGGGUUGUAAAGUACUUUCAGCGGGGAGGAAGGGAGUAAAGUUAAUACCUUUGCUCAUUGACGUUACCCGCAGAAGAAGCACCGGCUAACUCCGUGCCAGCAGCCGCGGUAAUACGGAGGGUGCAAGCGUUAAUCGGAAUUACUGGGCGUAAAGCGCACGCAGGCGGUUUGUUAAGUCAGAUGUGAAAUCCCCGGGCUCAACCUGGGAACUGCAUCUGAUACUGGCAAGCUUGAGUCUCGUAGAGGGGGGUAGAAUUCCAGGUGUAGCGGUGAAAU
rnacentral:rRNA from 1 species